GUGAUUACCGGCAGCCAUGGAUCUGCUCCCUCUGCAGUUUACCGCGCCUAGUGUGAUUCGUUCAACUGACCUCACACGUCCGGUACCGUCAGUCACACUAACAGCGCAUGGCAGUAUCAGCAGAAUAAAGGUAACAGAGGCGCCAUUGCAGAAAGCUAUUUGCGACGACCACGUCGAGGUUGAAG